rfam:Myotis lucifugus cont2.2427, whole genome shotgun sequence.
GAGACACCCUUAUGGAGCAGGACUUGCUUCAGUGGGGCUUUGGUGCUCACUGAGUCUUUUCCUUGAGUGUGUCACU